CUGGCAACCCUGAUUCUUCCUCCAAACAUUUCGCUAGCGCUAUCGACCAUCACGUCCAUUCUACCUUUGUUUGAGCAAGCAUCCCAAACAAAAAGCCGACUCAACAUGGCUUACACCGUUGCAGGUGGCACCAAGAAGAAAGUCUGCUACUACUAUGACGGUGAUAUCGGAAAUUAUUAUUGACAAGGGCAUCCAAUGAAACCACACCGACUUCGCAUGACCCACAACCUGCUGUUGAAUUAUGGGCUGUACAGAAAAAUUGAAAUAUAUAGACCACACAAAGCCACUACAGAGGAAAUGACCAAAUAUCACAGUGAUGAUUACAUCAAGUUCCUCAAAUCCAUCCGACCAGACAACAUGUCAGAGUACAGCAAGCAAAUGCAGUGGUGUACGAUGUUGGCUCCAUAGCUAGGGCCAGGAGUUGUAAUGAACCUUAAGACUGAACAGGGGACAACUAGUGUUAACACUAGCCUAGUGUUAAAAAUACAUAUGAAUUAAGUUUUUCUUCAUAUUGGAUAACAUGAAAAAUGUUUUAUUUUCCCCUCUAAGUCAAUGUUGGGGAGGAUUGUCCUGUGUUUGAUGGGUUAUUUGAGUUCUGCCAGCGAUCCACUGGUGGCUCUGCUGGUACGUGCGUACACACAAUAGCUUUUAUUUAUCCGGCAUUAUGUUGUAAUGUCCAGGGAAACUGAAGAUCAUUCUAUUGAUGCUAAAUAUGAAUUUGAGUGAUAAUUUAAACUCCACCCAGUUAGCAAAUGAACACAUCAUAUGCCCACGGGUACACAUCUGUUGAUCAGUAUGAGCAACAUUUACAGUUGAGUCUUUUAGGAGAUGCUCUUGUCCAGAGCAACUUACAGUUAGUGCAUUCAUCUUAAGACGGCUGGGUGGGACAACCAAAUCUCAGUCAUAGUAAGUACUUUUUCCUCAAUAAAGUAGCUAUCAGCAAAGUCAGUGCUAGUAGGGGGGGAAAGAGCGAGUGUUAGUUCACGAAGGGGUGGGGGGGUGCUGUGGGAUUCUUAAAGAUACUCUUUGAAUAGGUAGGGUUUCUGAUGUUUUUGGAAGAUGGGUAGGGACUCUGCUGUCCUAGCUUCAGGGGGAAGCUGUUUCCAC